rnacentral:rRNA from 1 species
AACCUCCGCAAUGUGAGAAAUCGCGACGGGGGGAUCCCAAGUGCCAUUCUUAACGGGAUGGCUUUUCAUUAGUGUAAAGAGCUUUUGGAAUAAGAGCUGGGCAAGACCGGUGCCAGCCGCCGCGGUAACACCGGCAGCUCUAGUGGUAACAAUUUUUAUUGGGCCUAAAGCGUCCGUAGCCGGUUUAAUAAGUCUCUGGUGAAAUCCUGUAGCUUAACUGUGGGAAUUGCUGGAGAUACUAUUAGACUUGAGACCGGGAGAGGUUCGAGGUACUCCCAGGGUAGAGGUGAAAUUCUGUAAUCCUGGGAGGACCGCCUGUUGCGAAGGCGUCUAACUGGAACGGUUCUGACGGUGAGGGACGAAAGUUAGGGGCGCGAACCGGAUUUAGAUACCCGGGUAGUCCUAACUGUAAACGAUGCGGACUUGGUGUUGGGGUGGCUUUGAGCUGCUCCAGUGCCGAAGGGAAGCUGUUAAGUCCGCCGCCUGGGAAGUACGGUCGCAAGACUGAAACUUAAAGGAAUU